GUACCCCAGGGAGUGGCCGCACCCUCAGUACUACCAACAGGAGGCCACACUGUCCUUGCCUCCUAUCCCAACCUCACGCUGACCACUUGGCUGAGCAAAUUCUAGAACACCACCCGGAGCAGGUGGGGACAGCGGGGGAAGAGUGCAGCGUGGGGGCUGCAGGUCUGUUUCUAGUCCUACAGCCCAACACCAACUGCCAGAAUUCCGACCCUCCUGGCCUUCCUUUGUCUACUAACCUCAGGAGACCAAAGAGCCCCGGUAGCCGAAUGGGGAGCUGCAAGACACACAAUAUACGGUGGAUAUCCUUUAUACAAAGACUAUACAGAAUAAGAAAAACAAAAGAAGACUGAAAAAGAACUAAGACAUGAACCUGGUACACUGAGAGCCUCGAGUCAGAUUCAUUUUCUGAACAGAACAAAGCUGGACUUAUCUCCUGACUAAAAUAUGGGCUUCAUUCAUGCCUUAUCUUUGGAAUAAAAGGCUUUCACUUCCA